rnacentral:rRNA from 1 species
CCGGGAUUGCCCAGUAACGGCGAGUGAAGCGGCAACAGCUCAAAUUUGAAAUCUGGCCUCCUGCGGGGUCCGAGUUGUAAUUUGUAGAGGAUGUUUCGGGUGACGGACCGGCCUAAGUUCCUUGGAACAGGGCGUCAUAGAGGGUGAGAAUCCCGUCUGCGGUCGGCCACUGACCCCGCCAGAAACUCCUUCGACGAGUCGAGUUGUUUGGGAAUGCAGCUCUAAAUGGGUGGUAAAUUUCAUCUAAAGCUAAAUACCGGCCGGAGACCGAUAGCGCACAAGUAGAGUGAUCGAAAGAUGAAAAGCACUUUGGAAAGAGAGUCAAACAGUAUGUGAAAUUGUUGAAAGGGAAGCGCCUGCGACCAGACCCGUCUUCGGGCGAUCACCCGCCGUUCGCGGCGGGGUACUCGCCCGGGAGCGGGCCAGCAUCGGUUUGGGCGGCCGGACAAAGGCCCCGGAAAUGUACCUUCCCCCCGGGGAAGACUUAUAGCCCGGGGUGCAAUGCGGCCAGCCGGGACCGAGGACCGCGCUUCGGCUAGGAUGCUGGCGUAAUGGUCGUAGGCGGCCCGUCUUGAAACACGGACCAAGA